rnacentral:rRNA from 1 species
AUGGACGCCCUCGCGCGCUACCCGGGGUCCUACUGGCGGGACCUCUUCGACUCCCGCGUCGGCCGCACCGUCUGGCCCUACGGCUCCGGCGUCUGGUCCAAGAAGGAGUUCGUGCUCCCGGGGAUCGACCCGGACCACAUCGUCUCCCUCUUCGAGGGCAACUCCAACCUCUUCUGGGCCGAGCGCCUCGGCCGCGACCACCUCGCCGGCAUGAAGGACCUCUGGGUCAAGCACUGCGGCAUCUCCCACACGGGUUCCUUCAAGGACCUCGGCAUGACCGUGCUCGUCAGCCAGGUCAACCGCCUCCGCCGCGCCCCGCUCUCCCGCCCCAUCGCCGGCGUCGGCUGCGCCUCCACGGGGGACACCUCCGCCGCGCUCUCCGCCUACUGCGCGGCUGCCGGGAUCCCAGCCAUCGUCUUCCUCCCGGCCAACCGCAUCUCGCUCGAGCAGCUCAUCCAGCCCAUCGCCAACGGCGCCACCGUGCUCUCCCUCGACACGGACUUUGAUGGCUGUAUGCGGCUCAUCAGGGAGUUCGAUUGGGAGGUCCCAGAUUGGGUCAUUGUACCGGGAGGCAAUCUUGGAAACAUAUAUGCUUUCUACAAGGGAUUCGAGAUGUGCCGUGUUCUUGGUCUCGUUGAUCGUCUGCCACGGCUUGUCUGCGCACAGGCCGCCAAUGCCAACCCGCUGUACCGCUACUACAAGUCAGGGUGGACACAAUUCCAGCCACAGGUGGCUGAGCCAACAUUUGCGUCGGCGAUUCAGAUCGGUGACCCUGUAUCGGUCGACCGUGCGGUGGUCGCACUCAAGGCAACAAAUGGCAUCGUCGCAGAGGCCACGGAGGAGGAGCUCAUGAAUGCAAUGUCCCUCGCAGACCGCACCGGCAUGUUUGCCUGCCCGCACACUGGGGUCGCGCUCGCGGCUCUCUUCAAGCUCCGGGAAGAGGGCACCAUCGGGGCAAAUGACCGCACAGUGGUCGUCAGCACGGCGCACGGCCUCAAGUUCUCCCAGUCCAAGAUAGACUACCAUGAUCAGAAGAUCGAAGACAUGGCCUGCAAGUACGCCAACCCGCCGGUCAGCGUCAAGGCUGACUUCGGCGCCGUCAUGGACGUCCUCAAGAAGAGACUCAAGGGUAAGCUUUGA